AAUGAACGCUGGCGGCAGGCCUAACACAUGCAAGUCGAACGGAUCCUUCGGGAUUAGUGGCGGACGGGUGAGUAACGCGUGGGAACAUACCCUUUGGUACGGAAUAGCCUCGGGAAACUGGGAGUAAUACCGUAUGUGGUCGAGAGACGAAAGAUUUAUCGCCAAAGGAUUGGCCCGCGUUGGAUUAGGUAGUUGGUGGGGUAAUGGCCUACCCAGCCGACGAUCCAUAGCUGGAUUGAGAGGAUGAUCAGCCACACUGGGACUGAGACACGGCCCAGACUCCUACGGGAGGCAGCAGUGGGGAAUCUUAGACAAUGGGGGAACCCCUGAUCUAGCCAUGCCGCGUGAUCGAUGAAGGCCUUAGGGUUGUAAAGAUCUUUCAGGUGGGAAGAUAAUGACUGUACCACCAGAAGAAGCCCCGGCUAACUCCGUGCCAGCAGCCGCCGUAA
rnacentral:rRNA from 1 species